AUAAAUAUAUAUAAAUACAUACAUACAUACAUACAUACAUACACACACAAUGAGAGAUUCACAGUUUUAAGAGGAAGAAGUAAAAAGGAAGUGAAGUCCUCUAGGAACUGAGAGAGGGGAGGGGCAGAGGAAGAAUCCUCUCACAGGCAAUGGUUUCCUGGAAGUUGCUGUUUCCCACAUAAGGAAAGGUGUGGGAAGAAAGAUGAAGUUUCUUGCUUCUUGCUGUUUGGAGACUUCAAGGGCAGAGAACCAACUUCCAAACAGGACAGCAUCCCUCUCCUGUGAUGAGCUGGAAAGUAAUCUGCAGCCGUCAAGUGCAGGAGAAGCGAAGCCACGGGAACUUGCUGUGUGUGCCACACCAGGGUUGUCUGGUCCUCACCGACCGGGGACAAACACCCUGUUUCUAGGGCAAGAGCUGGCACUUGAAGGAAAUCUUUUGUCUGUACCUUUGUACCUUUGCCAUCAGGCAGGGAGAAAAGAGCUGUUCCUCUGCCUUUUUCUCUAGGCUUUUUGCUUUAUUAAGCAGAGAGCAUCCGCCUCCGUUGUGGUGGGAACAAGGGCAGAGGUGAAGGAUGGUGAGACCGGCAAGGCCAGUAUGAGGUAACCCUGCAGGACUGCGAGAGAAUGUGUGGAAAUCUCCUCCUGACUUCUAUCAAUUAAUGGGAAGAGGGGAAUAGUUUCGGCAUUGCAAUUAAAAAAAGAACAGUUAAGUUCCUGCUGGAGAUACAGACAGGGAAGGUGGGGAGUUUGGUAGCAUGACCAGCAUUGGAGCAGGGGGCUGCCCAGCUGUGCUACCAGAAGUGACUAUUCUUGUAAGUUGGUAUUUGCAAAAAACCUAAAACCCAGUGCCUGGAAGAAGAAUGUGGAGAUAACUUCUACAAGACUCAUUGAUGAAGUGGUGUCAGCUGUAAGAGAUGCCAGUAAGGGAUACAAGGUGUUCUGCUCAGUUCUUUCCUGAACUCCAGCUCCUUGGAGACUCGUUCAUAUGCUAAGAGCAGGGACAUGUUGUUUCAGUAUUUAUUGGGCAAGACAGAUGCCCUCGUUCCUUUGCCAUUUCUAGCGGAUGAGCUUUCCAGCUGGGAACCUCAUUUCCAAAUAGUUCUUCAACAAAAAUCCCAUUCCUUGGACUGCUUGUUCUCAAAAAGUGCUCCAAGUGACCUUAAUGCGUUCUCAGCUGUCCUUUACAGAUGAGAAGUAUUUCUGAAUGCAAGGUCACCAAUUGCAAUGAUAUGCAUUACUAUUAAACUUGGCACUUGUAUGCAAAGAUGAUCUUUUGGCUAACAUACAAGGCUGGGACAAAGGAAGUUGUUUUCUUGUCCGCUUCUGCGAACUUGUAAUUAUUUUUCCGCUACAUCUCUUAGUCUUCCCAGCCAUAAAGUGUGAUUAAUAAAUUGUACUUGC